GACGAACGCUGGCGGCGUGCUUAACACAUGCAAGUCGAACGGAAAGGCCCUGCUUUUGUGGGGUGCUCGAGUGGCGAACGGGUGAGUAACACGUGAGUAACCUGUCCUUGACUUUGGGAUAACUUCAUGAAACUGGGGCUAAUACCGGAUAGGAGCUCUUGCCGCAAGGGGGGGGUUGGAAAGUUUCGGUGGUUGGGGAUGGACUCGCGGCUUAUCAGCUUGUUGGUGGGGUAGUGGCUUACCAAGGCUUUGACGGGUAGCCGGCCUGAGAGGGUGACCGGCCACGUUGGGACUGAAAUACGGCCCAGACUCCUACGGGAGGCAGCAGUGGAGAAUAUUGCACAGUGGGCGGAAGCCUGGUGCAGCAACGCCGCGUGCGGGAUAACGGCCUUCGGGUUGUAAACCGCUUUCGCCUGUGACGAAGCGUGAGUGACGGUAAUGGGUAAAGAAGCACCGGCUAACUACGUG
rnacentral:rRNA from 1 species